GGGUUGUGAGGUUAAGCGACUAAGCGUACACGGUGGAUGCCCUGGCAGUCAGAGGCGAUGAAGGACGUGCUAAUCUGCGAUAAGCGUCGGUAAGGUGAUAUGAACCGUUAUAACCGGCGAUUUCCGAAUGGGGAAACCCAGUGUGUUUCGACACACUAUCAUUAACUGAAUCCAUAGGUUAAUGAGGCGAACCGGGGGAACUGAAACAUCUAAGUACCCCGAGGAAAAGAAAUCAACCGAGAUUCCCCCAGUAGCGGCGAGCGAACGGGGAGGAGCCCAGAGCCUGAAUCAGUGUGUGUGUUAGUGGAAGCGUCUGGAAAGGCGCGCGAUACAGGGUGACAGCCCCGUACACAAAAAUGCACAUGCUGUGAGCUCGAUGAGUAGGGCGGGACACGUGGUAUCCUGUCUGAAUAUGGGGGGACCAUCCUCCAAGGCUAAAUACUCCUGACUGACCGAUAGUGAACCAGUACCGUGAGGGAAAGGCGAAAAGAACCCCGGCGAGGGGAGUGAAAAAGAACCUGAAACCGUGUACGUACAAGCAGUGGGAGCACGCUUAGGCGUGUGACUGCGUACCUUUUGUAUAAUGGGUCAGCGACUUAUAUUCUGUAGCAAGGUUAACCGAAUAGGGGAGCCGAAGGGAAACCGAGUCUUAACUGGGCGUUAAGUUGCAGGGUAUAGACCCGAAACCCGGUGAUCUAGCCAUGGGCAGGUUGAAGGUUGGGUAACACUAACUGGAGGACCGAACCGACUAAUGUUGAAAAAUUAGCGGAUGACUUGUGGCUGGGGGUGAAAGGCCAAUCAAACCGGGAGAUAGCUGGUUCUCCCCGAAAGCUAUUUAGGUAGCGCCUCGUGAACUCAUCUCCGGGGGUAGAGCACUGUUUCGGCAAGGGGGUCAUCCCGACUUACCAACCCGAUGCAAACUGCGAAUACCGGAGAAUGUUAUCACGGGAGACACACGGCGGGUGCUAACGUCCGUCGUGAAGAGGGAAACAACCCAGACCGCCAGCUAAGGUCCCAAAGUCAUGGUUAAGUGGGAAACGAUGUGGGAAGGCCCAGACAGCCAGGAUGUUGGCUUAGAAGCAGCCAUCAUUUAAAGAAAGCGUAAUAGCUCACUGGUCGAGUCGGCCUGCGCGGAAGAUGUAACGGGGCUAAACCAUGCACCGAAGCUGCGGCAGCGACGCUUAUGCGUUGUUGGGUAGGGGAGCGUUCUGUAAGCCUGUGAAGGUGUACUGUGAGGUAUGCUGGAGGUAUCAGAAGUGCGAAUGCUGACAUAAGUAACGAUAAAGCGGGUGAAAAGCCCGCUCGCCGGAAGACCAAGGGUUCCUGUCCAACGUUAAUCGGGGCAGGGUGAGUCGACCCCUAAGGCGAGGCCGAAAGGCGUAGUCGAUGGGAAACAGGUUAAUAUUCCUGUACUUGGUGUUACUGCGAAGGGGGGACGGAGAAGGCUAUGUUGGCCGGGCGACGGUUGUCCCGGUUUAAGCGUGUAGGCUGGUUUUCCAGGCAAAUCCGGAAAAUCAAGGCUGAGGCGUGAUGACGAGGCACUACGGUGCUGAAGCAACAAAUGCCCUGCUUCCAGGAAAAGCCUCUAAGCAUCAGGUAACAUCAAAUCGUACCCCAAACCGACACAGGUGGUCAGGUAGAGAAUACCAAGGCGCUUGAGAGAACUCGGGUGAAGGAACUAGGCAAAAUGGUGCCGUAACUUCGGGAGAAGGCACGCUGAUAUGUAGGUGAAGCGACUUGCUCGUGGAGCUGAAAUCAGUCGAAGAUACCAGCUGGCUGCAACUGUUUAUUAAAAACACAGCACUGUGCAAACACGAAAGUGGACGUAUACGGUGUGACGCCUGCCCGGUGCCGGAAGGUUAAUUGAUGGGGUUAGCGCAAGCGAAGCUCUUGAUCGAAGCCCCGGUAAACGGCGGCCGUAACUAUAACGGUCCUAAGGUAGCGAAAUUCCUUGUCGGGUAAGUUCCGACCUGCACGAAUGGCGUAAUGAUGGCCAGGCUGUCUCCACCCGAGACUCAGUGAAAUUGAACUCGCUGUGAAGAUGCAGUGUACCCGCGGCAAGACGGAAAGACCCCGUGAACCUUUACUAUAGCUUGACACUGAACAUUGAGCCUUGAUGUGUAGGAUAGGUGGGAGGCUUUGAAGUGUGGACGCCAGUCUGCAUGGAGCCGACCUUGAAAUACCACCCUUUAAUGUUUGAUGUUCUAACGUUGACCCGUAAUCCGGGUUGCGGACAGUGUCUGGUGGGUAGUUUGACUGGGGCGGUCUCCUCCUAAAGAGUAACGGAGGAGCACGAAGGUUGGCUAAUCCUGGUCGGACAUCAGGAGGUUAGUGCAAUGGCAUAAGCCAGCUUGACUGCGAGCGUGACGGCGCGAGCAGGUGCGAAAGCAGGUCAUAGUGAUCCGGUGGUUCUGAAUGGAAGGGCCAUCGCUCAACGGAUAAAAGGUACUCCGGGGAUAACAGGCUGAUACCGCCCAAGAGUUCAUAUCGACGGCGGUGUUUGGCACCUCGAUGUCGGCUCAUCACAUCCUGGGGCUGAAGUAGGUCCCAAGGGUAUGGCUGUUCGCCAUUUAAAGUGGUACGCGAGCUGGGUUUAGAACGUCGUGAGACAGUUCGGUCCCUAUCUGCCGUGGGCGCUGGAGAACUGAGGGGGGCUGCUCCUAGUACGAGAGGACCGGAGUGGACGCAUCACUGGUGUUCGGGUUGUCAUGCCAAUGGCACUGCCCGGUAGCUAAAUGCGGAAGAGAUAAGUGCUGAAAGCAUCUAAGCACGAAACUUGCCCCGAGAUGAGUUCUCCCUGAC
rnacentral:rRNA from 1 species